CUCAUAUCACACAGGGCACAUAUUUUCUCCAGGGUUAAACAUACACUUCUGAGACAGGAAACAAUUCAAUAAUUAAUUAUUACUGUGAUUCUUGACUCUGGGAUUGUUUUAUGUGUUUAAUUUUUGUCUUCCACUCCUGUCUAGGCAGCUUGUCUCCCAAUACUUUAUAUGUCUUUCUUUCCUCCAAGGCAUUUACUGCACAGGCGGACAGAACAGUGGCUCCAUGAAUACCAGUUUCACAGUCGAGGAUAUCUGGUAUUUCCAGUGAUGUUUAGAGUUCAGUGGGUUUAUGGUUCCAUGACAUCUUAUUAGUCUCGAGGCAUCAGAAACAAGGCUGACAUUUCCACACAUCGGAACUUAUCUCCCCUGAUUGCCACCCCCAUUCCAGCCGGGUCAAAACCAGAGGAAACAAGGCAUUUCAACUCAGUUCCUUCAGAAAGGAAUUUCAGGUAAGUGAUUCUCUUAUCUUAUCUAGCAA
rnacentral:lncRNA from 1 species